UUGUUAGAUUUGUGACGAUGCGUCGGACAAACAACAUUGGGAAAAUAUACAGCCUUGAGCCUUGAUGACCAAUGUAUAUCUCUAUUUGAGGAAUUCUCCAAAGAUCCAGAGCCGAUUGUUUCAUAGAGCUGUGAAGUUGCGUUAAACAUACUGGAUUUUGAACGAUCCGACAAACCAUUCGAGGUACUUGGAAGAUUAAGUCUCUUAUCUGGGUGGUUGUUACAGGUUUAGGAUGUUAAAUGAUUUUGGAUGUACUCUGCGAUGUCGAUGAUGCAGAGAUGUUGGUGAAGCUCAGGUUAACAACUUCAUGUGUAUAUUUUAAUGAAUAAAGUUUUUGUUGUUUAUAUUUUC